rnacentral:lncRNA from 1 species
CUCUCUCUCUCUCUCUCCCUCCCUCCCCCCUCUGUCUCUUCCUUUCUUUUAGAUAUUUGUUUGUUUGUUUGUUUGUUUGUUAGACAUGGUCUCUAUAGCCCUGGCUGGCCUGAAGCUCUCUAUGUAGAUCACACUGGCCUCAAACUCACGGGCCUCUGCUUCCCUCCCAGGUUCUGGAACCAAAGGUCUGUGCUACUCCCAACUCCCGUUUCAUCCUGUAACAUUUUCUGUUGCUUUGAGGGUGGGAUAGAGCUGUCUUCUGGAUAGAAACCUCCUCCCCACUCGCUAUAUUGUACGGCACUUUCCUCUUUUCUCUGUAAGUCCUCUACACUGAUGUGUAGGUGUAAGGAUUUGACUAGAUCCAGCUACUAAGCUGUCUCCCUAGGCUGAAAGCUGUCAUUCUUUCAGAAUUUUACACAUUCUAUUUCUUCUGACCGCAGUAAGACUCCGACAGUCAUCGUAUAAGCUGCCAUGUAGAUUUUACUGCCUAUUAUCUAAACAAUGUACAUUGUGGGACAGGGUGGAACUUGACAUAUAGUCCCACACUGUGAAGUAAGUGCUCAUGGCUUACACUUCCCAUUUCAGACUUAAGGAGCAGUCUUUGGACAUGCUGUCUGUGUAAUUAAAGAUAUUUGAAAGUCAUUUAAGGGCUGGUGAGAUGGCUCAGUGGGUUAGAGCACCCGACUGCUCUUCCGAAGGUCCAGAGUUCAAAUCCCAGCAACCACAUGGUGGCUCACAACCAUCCGUAACAAGAUCUGACCCCCUCUUCUGGAGUGUCUGAAGACAGCUACAAUGUACUUACAUAUAAUAAAUAAAUAAAUAAAUAAAUCUUUAAAAAAAAAAAGAAAGUCAUUUAAGUUAGACUGAUUUCAUAUCUCUGAUCAAAACUCCAAAUAACAACAAUAAUGAAAAGCCUACAAGAAUACUGUCCAAUAACAGUUGUACUGGUUGUGUGUAUGUGGAGGACAGAGGACAAUUGUAAGAGGUAGGUCUCCCUUCUCCCCUGCGGGCUCUGGGGGUUGAGCUCAGGCCAUCAGUUGUCAGCAAGUUUCUUCACCUACUGAGCCUCCUCACCAGCCCCUUUAUUUCUCUCCUAACGUGGCUGGGGUUCCUGAUAGCUUUGCGUUUUGAUGCAAGGCCCUGGAUUCCAUCUCUGUAAGAAAUCACCCACCUCCAAACUCCAAAAUAAAAAUACCAAAUAUUAAUGAAAUAUAAUUUACAUACGAUAAAGUGAAAAAUAUCACUAAGAGUUAUUUUAAUGUGGGCCUGGGGAGAUGGCCCAGUACAAAGGAUGCUUGUUGUCUAAGCAUGAGGACCUAAGCUCAGAUCCCUAGCACUCACAUAAAGAAAGAGCCAAGUGUGGAAGUAUGCUCUCAACUCUAGUGCUGUGGGAGUCAGUGGCAGGAGGUUCCUGAGGCUCGUCGGCUGCCAGCCUCGCUCUAGAAUCAGCGAGGGACUCAGUCUCAAAGGAUGUAUGGCAGGGUGAGAGCUGACACCAUGACCUUCUCUGGCCUUCACUCACAUGUACAGGCAUUCAUACCUGCACACAUGAGUACACAACACAUGCACGCACACACGCAUGCAUGCACACACACACGCACACAGUCACGCACACAAAAUGCCUUCAGUGUCUUCCCUGCUGUUUUGAUGAAAAAGUAGGAAACCUUAUGCUGCUUCAGUAAGUGUUGUCCUGUACAUGAACCUGUGAGUAGAGUGUGGCUGAGAAGAGAGUCUCCAUCGGAGGGCGUUCCCUGAGUGCCCUUGGCAGUGAGUGCCUCUGUACUGUUCCACAUGCUGUGAUUCUUAUCACUGCAGACUAGUUAUGCCUGUUGCAGAGCAUUGUGGAAAUGCAGUCACAUAGUAUAUAUCCUUUCUUGUUCCCAUGUUGGGCCUC